rnacentral:rRNA from 1 species
GGCCAGACUCCUACGGGAGGCAGCAGUGAGGAAUAUUGGUCAAUGGCCGAGAGGCUGAACCAGCCAAGUCGCGUGAGGGAAGACGGCCCUACGGGUUGUAAACCUCUUUUGUCGGGGAGCAAAGCGAACCACGUGUGGUUCAUUGAGAGUACCCGAAGAAAAAGCAUCGGCUAACCCCGUGCCAGCAGCCGCGGUAAUACGGAGGAUGCGAGCGUUAUCCGGAUUUAUUGGGUUUAAAGGGUGCGUAGGCGGAAUGCCAAGUCAGCGGUAAAAUUGCGGGCCUCAACGCCGCCGAGCCGUUGAAACUGGCGUUCUUGAGUGGGCGAGAAGUAUGCGGAAUGCGUGGUGUAGCGGUGAAAUGCAUAGAUAUCGCGCAGAACCCCGAUUGCGAAGGCAGCGUGCCGUGCCGCCACUGACGCUGAGGCACGAAAGCGCGGGGAUCGAACAGGAUUAGAUACCCCUGUA